GACGGUUUCUCGAGUUCACGCGGGAAUUUAUGAUGGAGUUAUACUAAAAUAGCGGGUUUCGAUUUAGGGUUAAAAGAAGGUAGGCUUAUGUAUAGUAAACAUCACUUGAAGAGACGUUUAAGUGUACUACAACGCUAAUUUGACAAGAGUCUAUCAAGUGACAGGCUUAUCUAAUUAUGGAUUUGGUGCCUUUCCAGACUCCAUAGUGACCUCAAACUGUGCAAUAUCCGCCUUCACUGUCUCUCAGAUACAUUCAGCUGGUUCCCUCCACAGCUUUAAUGUAGAGGAUUCUAAGAAGAAGAAAUGACCAGACAAAAGCGCCUGUGAGACACUGCUUCAUUUGACGAGUGGUGCUGUGAUGGUCACGCUUCAAAACACCACUUUAUGUGUGUGUGUGUUUUCUCCUUUCAAAUCUUACAUUUCAUGAGAAAGACCACAGGGAAUUGAAAACAUACUGAGGGCCCUUAGGCUGAUCACAUGUUCUCUUCCUAUCAUAAACGGGAAGCAGUAACGCUGGAAGGAAACUCAUUUAGCAUGUGGAUAUCAUGCACUCAUUAGAACACACAGUCAAAAAUAAUUUUGCAGCUUGCUUAAUUUACGUAAUUAAAGUGAGCUAAUACAUCACAAUUCAUGGAGAUUUUGUCACAAUUUAAUUUAAUUGAGUGCAAUCCAUUAUUUGUAAAAUAAAAGUUUACUUAAAUCCA
ensembl:lncRNA